rnacentral:rRNA from 1 species
AUCGUUAACUGAAUACAUAGGUUAACGAGGCGAACCGGGGGAACUGAAACAUCUAAGUACCCCGAGGAAAAGAAAUCAACCGAGAUUCCCCCAGUAGCGGCGAGCGAACGGGGAACAGCCCAGAACCUGAAUCAGUUUGUGCAUUAGUGGAAGCGUCUGGAAAGUCGCAGGGUACAGGGUGAUACUCCCGUACACAAAAAUGCACUUGCUGUGAGUUCGAUGAGUAGGGCGGGACACGUGACAUCCUGUCUGAAUAUGGGGGGACCAUCCUCCAAGGCUAAAUACUCCUGACUGACCGAUAGUGAACCAGUACCGUGAGGGAAAGGCGAAAAGAACCCCGGCGAGGGGAGUGAAAAAGAACCUGAAACCGUGUACGUACAAGCAGUGGGAGCCUCUUUAUGGGGUGACUGCGUACCUUUUGUAUAAUGGGUCAGCGACUUAUAUUCUGUAGCAAGGUUAACCGUAUAGGGGAGCCGAAGGGAAACCGAGUCUUAACUGGGCGUUAAGUUGCAGGGUAUAGACCCGAAACCCGGUGAUCUAGCCAUGGGCAGGUUGAAGGUUGGGUAACACUAACUGGAGGACCGAACCGACUAAUGUUGAAAAAUUAGCGGAUGACCUGUGGCUGGGGGUGAAAGGCCAAUCAAACCGGGAGAUAGCUGGUUCUCCCCGAAAGCUAUUUAGGUAGCGCCUCGUGAACUCAUCUUCGGGGGUAGAGCACUGUUUCGGCUAGGGGGCCAUCCCGGCUUACCAACCCGAUGCAAACUGCGAAUACCGAAGAAUGUUAUCACGGGAGACACACGGCGGGUGCUAACGUCCGUCGUGAAGAGGGAAACAACCCAGACCGCCAGCUAAGGUCCCAAAGUCAUGUUUAAGUGGGAAACGAUGUGGGAAGGCACAGACAGCCAGGAUGUUGGCUUAGAAGCAGCCAUCAUUUAAAGAAAGCGUAAUAGCUC